GCAGUCGACGGCAGCACGGAACUUGCUCUGGUGGCGAGUGGCGAACGGGUGAGUAAUAUAUCGGAACGUACCCUGGAGUGGGGGAUAACGUAGCGAAAGUUACGCUAAUACCGCAUACGAUCUACGGAUGAAAGUGGGGGAUCGCAAGACCUCAUGCUCGUGGAGCGGCCGAUAUCUGAUUAGCUAGUUGGUAGGGUAAAAGCCUACCAAGGCAUCGAUCAGUAGCUGGUCUGAGAGGACGACCAGCCACACUGGAACUGAGACACGGUCCAGACUCCUACGGGAGGCAGCAGUGGGGAAUUUUGGACAAUGGGCGAAAGCCUGAUCCAGCAAUGCCGCGUGAGUGAAGAAGGCCUUCGGGUUGUAAAGCUCUUUUGUCAGGGAAGAAACGGUGAGAGCUAAUAUCUCUUGCUAAUGACGGUACCUGAAGAAUAAGCACCGGCUAACUACGUGCCAGCAGCCGCGGUAAUACGUAGGGUGCAAGCGUUAAUCGGAAUUACUGGGCGUAAAGCGUGCGCAGGCGGUUUUGUAAGUCUGAUGUGAAAUCCCCGGGCUCAACCUGGGAAUUGCAUUGGAGACUGCAAGGCUAGAAUCUGGCAGAGGGGGGUAGAAUUCCACGUGUAGCAGUGAAAUGCGUAGAUAUGUGGAGGAACACCGAUGGCGAAGGCAGCCCCCUGGGUCAAGAUUGACGCUCAUGCACGAAAGCGUGGGGAGCAAACAGGAUUAGAUACCCUGGUAGUCCACGCCCUAAACGAUGUCUACUAGUUGUCGGGUCUUAAUUUGACUUGGUAACGCAGCUAACGCGUGAAGUAAACCGCCUGGGGAGUACGGUCGCAGAUUAA
rnacentral:rRNA from 1 species